rnacentral:rRNA from 1 species
CCUACGGGGUGCAGCAGUGAGGAAUAUUGGUCAAUGGCCGGAAGGCUGAACCAGCCAAGUCGCGUGAGGGACGACUGCCCUCUUGGUUGUAAACCUCUUUUAUAAGGGAAGAAUAAAUGCUACGUGUAGCAUGAUGCCUGUACCUUAUGCAUCAGCAUCGGCUAACUCCGUGCCAGCAGCCGCGGUAAUACGGAGGCUGCGAGCGUUAUCCGGAUUUAUUGGGUUUAAAGGGGUCGUGGUCGGUUUUUUAAGUGAGUGGUUAAACGUCGGGGCUUCACCUUGAAUUGCCAUUAAUACUGUAAGACUCGAGUUCAGACGAGGUAGGCGGAAUAAGUUAAGUAGCGGUGAAAUGCUUAGAUAUAACGUAGAACUCAGAUAGCGAAGGCAGCUUACCAGACUGCGACUGACGCUGAAGCACGAGAGCGUGGGUAGCGAACAGGAUUAGAUACCCUGGUAGUC